UCGAGUUUCAAUAUAAUAAACAAAGGGGAGUUAUUAUUUCAUUGGCAGACUCCAGCUAAUGCACAAACUGUUUUCAGUACUGGCACACGGAGGGGCUUUUUUCACCAUAUACUGGCCAGUCAGACCCGUAUCAGUCCUAAUGGCACAGGGAAAUGGAAACUGAGAUCUUUUACCUUGAAGAAUAGCUGCAAUUCAUCCACUGCUCAGACUCCCCUCCCCUUUAAUUUCUUUUAUUGCUAGCACAGCAAAAUGAAUCAUCACAGUGGUAUCAAAGGAAACGUUUCCAAGCUGUUGAUGUACAGCAAAGGGACAGUUUCAUAUAACUUAGUAUUUAAUCUUCUCAGCCCAUGGCACCGUGCUUGGUGUGAACACUUUGGUUCUCAUCAUGACUCUGGGCAAAUUGCUUCACUUCUCCAGGCUUCUGCUGUCUUUUUAGAUGGUCCAUUUGGAUAUAAAACUUUUCCAUCUGAAAGUCAUGAAUUUAAGCCUUAUUCUUGGCUUGUACCAAAGCCAUUCCCAAUAGACAGCAUUGAAAUUAGUACCUCAUUAAUUGGGACAAUUAAUUAGCAGCAGAGUCCAGCUCCAUCACUCUUUCUGUACUUCAGUCUUUUGCUACAGGUGCCCUUCACCACGCUGGCCUCUGGACUACAACAGGCCCUUGACUAGUUACAACUGCAUGCCAUAUUUCAUGUAUUAGUUAGCUUUUGAGCAUUCCUUUCUGGAGCUGAAAAGAUACUGAAGUUGUUAAAGCGAGUCCUUGUUAGGAGUGUUUUAGGAAAGCAGAGAUUUCUGCAGGCAACCCCACAGUGUGACAUCCAGAAGUACCUGCCAACUGCCACGGCAAUGACUGGAGUCCCCAUCCCAGCAGCUCACCCACGGGGUGUCAAUGGGAGAGCACACUCAUGGAGGU